UUCGCAGGGCCAGAAACGAGCUAGGUGUGGUGGGUAGGUCGCAAGCUAGUGCUCGCCAGGCGUCUGUAAGCAUAUGGGGGUUCUGGAUAGGGGUCACCGCGAGGUGGGUUCGUAGGGAUCUAAAGCUUGAAAUUAAUGUGCUUGGUCUUUGAUGGUGUGUUUAGAGAAGCCUGUGUCUAGGAUUAUUUUUAUAAUGAUUUAUGUUGCAAAUAUGUGGUGUGCAUGGUUGGUCGGUCUGUUUUAUGAUGUUUUAAUAGAGAGUCACUUCGGUGGCUGAUGUGAUGUUCGAAAUUUGAGUCGGACCGUCCCGACUAGGUUUGGGGUGCCACAAUAAUUAUAUGAAAUAUCAAGAUACUCUAAUUACGCUAGGUUUCCUAAAGACGGAGGUAACUCACCGGAUAAACCACAUCUAGGCAAGUCAAGGUACUCCAAUACGAAUAGAUCACUUAUUUGAUGCUGGAUAUUUCCAGGAAAUUGACGACCACUAAGAUCAAGAAGGACAAGAUUUGGAAAAAUCUAUCUCUGACCUAGAUAAUAAACUCAUAAUAUCAGUUAAUUUUGAAGAUGCUUCCAGCAUUGUUGCAUGAUAUGCUUGGCCACUUGUAACGUUGUGAAGCAUUGUUGCUCUAGGUACUCCAGCACUCAUUAUCUACCACAUCUAUCGCUUCGGAGUCCAAUGGCGACAGAUCGGCUAUUGACACAAUUGCAACAAAGGAAAUUUGAAGGAUGGU
rnacentral:lncRNA from 1 species